UGUGGCAGCCAACGUAAUCUCGACCUUACAAGUCCUGGAGCAUUUUUCUGCUUCUUUUUUUCUCCUACAUGUGACAAAAAUAAAAGGUUUAGGACCUAAUAUGCUGCUCAACAGAGGUACUGUGAGAAAACAUUCAGAUAUUCCCUUAUGGUUUCACAUCAAGUUUAUGGUUACACAUGCAACUUUGGGGUUACUGAACAUCAUUCAGUAGUGGUGGCCAGCAUGUUAUAAGAGGAAUCAACGAUUUCCUGAAAAUUUCAUCAAACUCAAUGAAUGGAAUAACAAUGUGUCCAGGU